rnacentral:rRNA from 1 species
GACGAACGCUGGCGGCGUGCCUAAUACAUGCAAGUAGAACGCACAGUUUAUACCGUAGCUUGCUACACCAUAGACUGUGAGUUGCGAACGGGUGAGUAACGCGUAGGUAACCUGCCUGGUAGCGGGGGAUAACUAUUGGAAACGAUAGCUAAUACCGCAUAAUAUUCAUUAUUGCAUGAUAAUUAAUUGAAAGGUGCAAUUGCACCACUACCAGAUGGACCUGCGUUGUAUUAGCUAGUAGGUGAGGUAACGGCUCACCUAGGCGACGAUACAUAGCCGACCUGAGAGGGGGAUCGGCCCCACCGGGACUGGGACCCGGCCCAGACUUCUACGGGAGGCAGCAGUAGGGAAUCUUCGGCAAUGGACGAAAGGCUGACCGAGCCACGCCGCGGGAGGGAAGAAGGGUUUCGGAUCGUAAAGCUCUGUUGUAAGAGAAGAACGGGUGUGAGAGUGGAAAGUUCACACUGUGACGGUAUCUGACCAGAAAGGGACGGCUAACUACGUG